rnacentral:rRNA from 1 species
CCUGCGGAGGGAUCAUUGCUGGAAUACACGCUCGCAAGAGUGCUACCCAGAAACCCUUUGUGAAUUAUUCUCAAAACGUUGCCUCGGCAGUGACUGGCUUUCUUAGGAAGUCCCUCUUCGGAGGAGCAGGUCGGCCGGUGGCCCUAUAAACUCUUUGUUUUUUACAAUGUAUCUUCUGAGUAAAACAAAUAUAAAUGAAUCAAAACUUUUAACAACGGAUCUCUUGGUUCUGGCAUCGAUGAAGAACGCAGCGAAAUGCGAUAAGUAAUGUGAAUUGCAGAAUUCAGUGAAUCAUCGAAUCUUUGAACGCACAUUGCGCCCGCUGGUAUUCCAGCGGGCAUGCCUGUUCGAGCGUCAUUUCAACCCUCAAAACUUCUGUUUUGGUGUUGGAGGACUACCUGUAAAAGGGUAGCCUCUGAAAUUUAGUGGCGGGCUCGCUAGAAUUUUGAGCGUAGUAAUUUAUACCUCGUUUAGGAAGACUAGUGAUGUUCUUUGCCGUAAAACCCCCCAACUUUCUGAAAAUUGACC